AGACACAGAGACAAGAAGAGAAAAUCCUGAGAUUCAGAUCAAACCUGCAAAAGAUUCAGUAGAAAUUAAUGAUGAAAAAUUAUGAAAUUAAUGCAAUAAAGGAAACAGGAAACCUCGUUAUUAACAAUCAGAUUAAACGCCGUGAAACUUUUACAAAUUCUAUUUUUAUUUUGCAAGAAAGUGCUGAAUAUAAUGGUUUGACUAUUUGUGAAAUUUUUUAAAAUACAUAACUGCAUUAGCAUGUUUGGAAAAACAUUUACCAAAUCAGAGUGUUUCUAAUUUAAGAUCAGAGAUUUUUAGUCAGAACUAAAUUGAAACGGAUCGACUGAAGAGCAACGUUUGGUUUCAGGCUGGACUUAAAGGAGCUCAGGGUUUCAGUUUUCUGUUUGCUCCAGAUUUGUGGUGCAUAGAAGCUGAAUGCUGCUAAUGUCUGGUUCUGGAUCCAGAACCAGAACCUGAGGAUAUGUGAACGCUUAGACAGGCAGUUAUCUCCCAGCUCAUCUCCAUGGUUACGGCUCAACGGCCAGGAGGCAGAGCGGCUCCGAUGAAAUGUUUACUUUACAAGAAAGAUCCGAAUCCAAGUCAUGAAAUGAGGCGAUCAGACGUCACUCAGAGAAACGUUCACACUGACCGGCGGCCCCAACCCUAACCCUGACCCCACCCUGACCCCACCCUGGUGACCAUCAGGUCCUGGACUGUGUGCUGCUGGGCCAACAUGCUGAAUCAGACACAUUUCUCACUAUCUGGACGUUUAUCUGGAUUUAUCAGAGUUGAUUUUUGGCAGGAAAACUUUUCUACAUUUUAGUGAAUCCUGAUGGAUUGUAGCGACGCCUCCUGCUCUGUUUUGUUUCUGUCAGGGAUUUCUGAAUCUGCUCAGAGCCGGUCCUGGUCCCGGUCCUGGUCCCGGUGCUGAUCUUAUGCUCAGCAGAGCCACUUUCUGAGACUUUGUUUCAGUUCCUGAAUUAUCUGUUGCUUUACACCGGGAUGAGUCAGAGGUCUGAUUUUAGAAAACUGCAUUUAGUUUUUGUCUUUUGUUCAUUUUCUGCUAGUGACAGGUAAAGUCCCGUAUGGUACCGCUGGGGGCCAGACGCAUCCAGGUGUGAAGCCAGAGUCUGGACCCACAGAGUGGACGAUGCUCUGGGAGUCACAGCCCACAAGGAGAACUGCAGUGCGUUGGUCCGAGUUCCUGGUUCCUCCUGUUCUGAGGCAGACGGUCGUUUUGCUGCAGCCUUUUUGAAUGUGAAGGAGACAUUUCACGCAGCGCCACCUCCAGGUCGCACAGGUGACGGACAGCAGCGACGUGAGCACAGAAACUUUUUAUUCCAAAAGUUAUUAAAGAUGUGAACCAGGGAAGACUCGACCAUGUUGGACCCAGAGCAGGACCAGGAACCAGCAGAACCACGCAGUCACAUGAACACAUCACUGUGAUGUCAUUGGAUUUACUCCCAUCCAUAUAAACUACCUACAAUCUGAAGUUUAGCGACAGUCCAUGCAUGUCAGAUAACUACAUUAUAUUAAUGCUUCGUCCUGAUGAUGAGGCUUGUUCUGUCUGCACUCUUGCUGCAAAUUUGAUUUAAAAAAAACAAAACAAAGCAAACCAACAUCAAAACUAAAAGUGGAGUUGGAAGAGAAUGGGACCUGAAAAGAUUCAAGCGUUGGACAAUCUUGAUGACAUUAAGAAAUCCUUGGACUUCCUCUCUGAGGACGUGGCAGCAAUACGGCGCCAUCAACACAACAUCGUUGAGACUUUCUAAUGAGGAAAAGGACAAACGAAUCGCUGUGUUGCAGAACCGAGUGGCUGAUUUGGAGCAAUAAAACAGGAUAAACAAAGUCAUCAUCACUGGACUGUUUGCCAGCGCGGUGGCUGCACCGGGUCCGGCCAGUGAACCAUCAGCUGAAAUGUUUGACUCCACGGAGAAAUGGGCGGCUUCUUUCCUCUGGACCCCGGGGACAGAGGCGGACUGUGCCGCUUCCAAGAAAGAAAAAGAUGAUGAACUUGCCAUCAUCACGAGAUUCACAAAGAGGAAACACAAGUUUGCUUUGCUAAAACAAGGAAGAUGGCUGAAAUGAUGCGAUGUCUUUAUUAACGAGCAUCUGACCAAGAACAACGCUGACAUCACCAGAAAGACCCGGGUUCUGAGAAAGAGAAACGGAUCCAGUCAGCAUGGAGAAAGAAGUGAAUGCGGCUCCGGAAGAGGCAGUGGUUCUGGAACCGGAUGAAAACGACUGAAUGACUGACGAUCAGGAACCCAGGAGAUCACAUGACUCACAACCACCAUGAGUCAAUUAAACAAGACUUCAUCAAAUAUGGAUCCAACAUCAACACCUCCAUCUAAUGUCGACUACCUGGAACUGAAAACAUUCGACUACUGAAUAUAAAAGUCAAGACAAGGAAAAGGAUUUGGAUCCAGAAAAUAACUUCUACAAUAUUAACUGCUCUUCUCAUCAAUACAACAGUUAAAGCAGACGAUACAUUUUCCAUUAUACAUUUCAACAGCAGAAGCUCACAUGCAAUUUUAACCUCAUCAAAGACUUUGAUAACUAUCUCUGAAACCUGGAUUAAUGCUGAGAAGGCAGCUGAUUCUGAACUAGAUGGUUCUGAAUAUUAAUAGAGGGGCAGGCUGGUGGAGGAGCAGCUGCACAUGUGGACAGAGUCUCAGAUAUAACAUGCUUGAAAAUGUGACUAAAGUGGUAAAGGAUCAUUUUGAGGGUAUAACAGUUGAAAUAUAUAUGGAAAAAAAAUUAAAUAUAAUUGUUGGUUGAAUAUGUAGGGCUCCAGGUUCUAAUAUGGAUCUAUUUACACAACUACAACUGCAAAGGUCGAUUUUAUCUGGGGCUGAAACGAUUCCUCGACUGAUUCCAGUCCCUUCAUUAUUAAAAUUCCUCCAGGAAAAUGUACCUGCCUCAAAGCUUCGUUAAUUUAUGUUUUAUUCUUUAGCGCAUCGUGUUUCGGCCGGGACAUUAUUUGUGUUGCGCGGAGCUCUGACUUCCUCCUCUGACUUGUUGACCAAAGCUAAGUGUUAGCAGCAUAACGUCCAGUUUUCAAUAUCGGCCUGGGAGGAUUUUAUUGAUUGGUGAUAACGUUUUCAUCGUUUUCCGGGGACCAAUAAGCAGCUUUUCUCCUCCAGGAGCUGCUGCCUGGUGGCGGUUCAGAGCUGCAGGUGAGUGGAUAGAUUGAACACGGCAGGCGGCUGAGCAUUAGAUGAUUAACGCAAGUGUAGCUUUACGGACGAACCAAAAAAUACAUUUCAUAUCAUCCUGGUCGCCACUAACGGGUGGCGAAAGGCGUCAUGGCGCCACGUAGCUGGUAAAAGGAGUCAAAUCCCGUCGCUAACAUGAACACAAAGC